CAAAAAUAGCGUCGUUUACAUGCAAAUAAGUGACGUUACAGCUGCGUGAAUAGAAGUCACUAGAUUACAGGAGACAGUGUGCAGGACUGACAUAUCCUGCCUGUCUGUGUGAUUAAUUAUUAUAUACCCUUGAUCAGUUAUCCACAGGAUUCACUCAAAAGUCCAACUAGAGUUGCUGUUUUAGUCUUUAAGUUAGUUAAGUGUGACCUGGAUGACUGAGAGCCUGCAUGUAAAACAAUUAAAUGAGUCUAUUCAUAGAGGAUUUUGGAUAAUGAUUGUGGUUUAAGAGCGUUGCAAUAUUCAGAUUCUUUAUUUUAGUAAAAUAUCAAUAUUGCAAUGUAAAAAUAUCCCAUUAGUUCCAGUUUUGCAAAAUGUAUCUUUCACAUUAAAAUGUCGAGUUAUAAAUAUUUGACAUGUGAGUGUGCAUCAGGGCUGACAGAUGAGUAUGUGACAGAUAAAUUCUGUACUUGGUUUUUAUGAUGCUGAGAUAUGAGAAUCCCCUUUCACAUGCUUCACUACUCAGUGUAAAAGACAAUUUCACCACCUUAUUGAUGCUGGAGUAACAAUACGGGUUCCUUGUACUUACCAGUUGGACCAAGUCAUAUGGAUAUGCCUGCUUUAAGCACAUCCAUUCUCCCACAGUGGAGCCUCUCUCCGGUUGCAAGGUGGUUUUUGUGAUGUUCUCUGAUCCAUCAAAGAGCAGGCCCCAAAAUUCAUCAGACUGCAACUCUGCUCUUAACUCCCCCAGUGAUAGUUGGUGCAAUGCCCUGCAUUAUUCAUGUUCCCCUUCGUGUGAAUGAUGUGCACCUGCGACAUUCACCCCUAGCCACUCCAGAGCUUCAUAUGCUACAUUGCCACAGCGUCAGCAAGAGAUCGCAACAUCUACAGUCAAUUGCGCUGAAAUUUGAAGCGGCGUCUUUUGAGCGUCUCAAUUGUGCGAUGAAAGCCUACACGACGCAACAAAGCAGAAUUGAUGUAGGGGCGAUGUAAUCCCAGUUUUAUCUUGCGCGCGAAUUGGUGUUGCUCAGACCGGUUCAGACCGGACUGAACCAGGGAGAAUCAGCAGGAGGAAGACUAAGUUGCAGGCAGAUGGCAGCAUUUCAUCCAGUCUUUGGAAAGAACGGUAAGGCGAAAAGUGUGAUUAAACAAUGUUUAGCGUGCUUUAAUGCUGGUUUACAUAAUUUCAGAAGGUUUCGACCUCCUAAUCAAAUAGGAAUCUACUACCUUUUUAGCUGGGCUAGACUAGAGAGCUAAGUUAGCUAGCAUUGAUAAAUAACUGUUGUUACAGCUAUUACAAUGAAUUCAUCUGCAUCUGCUGUCUUUUAAUGCAACGCUAGCUGCUCACAGGAAGGUAAAUUUAGCCAGUAAUGUUAAAACUAAUUGCUAAGGUAGUGUUGUGUGAAAUGGUGCAAUUUGAUAGCUUAAACUGUCUCUAUUCCAGGUUUCGUCAGCUUUGUUUUUCACCCCACGACAGACGAAUCACUCCUUCCAAUUCCACGGAUCGGUAGGGUGUGUAUGCAGAUGGGAAGCACGAAAGUCUGCUGCACCAAAGAAGACAGCCAACCAUGUAGAAACUGCAAAAACUGCCAGAGGAACGAUUAUGAUACCUGGAGCACCAGACACUGAUACAUAAGAUCCAGCACUUGUCACGACUGCAGAGGUCUAGAGAAAUGAUGACCAUGACAAAAUACCUGAAGAAUGCACCAGAGACCAGUGUUUUUUUUAAAUGUCUCUUUGUCUCUUUUAAGUGUUAAAUGGUUUAAAAUGUUGUAUUUAGCAACAUUCUGGCAUUAACAGGAGGAAAAAGUGAAGUUGUAACUGUUGUAGUAUAUUUUCCCACAACCCAUUUUUACAUAAAAUGGGACCUUUAAUAGUUGCCUGGACUUUCUGUUUCUUUUGUUCCAGUUUUACUGUUGUCACCUGAGCAGUGUCUCCCUCUCUGAAUAAAAAAAAAAUCUUUUUUCUGGGAAUCUCAUUUCAUCACAUUCACUGAGUUAUUUAGAGGCA